rnacentral:rRNA from 1 species
GAGGCCUGCCUGCCCAGUGACAAACGUUCAACGGCCGCGGUAUCCUGACCGUGCAAAGGUAGCAUAAUCACUUGUUCCUUAAUUGGGGACUGGAAUGAAUGGCCUCACGAGGAUUCAACUGUCUCUUACCUCUAAUCAGUGAAAUUGACCUCCCCGUGAAGAGGCGGGGAUACAACAACAAGACGAGAAGACCCUAUGGAGCUUUAAUUUUCUGUCUUAACUACUAAAUAACUAAUCCUACUGGGAUAAAAAAAAGAGAAAUAAGUCAGUAAUUUCGGUUGGGGUGACCUCGGAGAAUAAGACAACCUCCGAAUGAUUUUAACCAAGACAAACAAGUCAAAGUAUUAAAAAUCAAAUUGACCCAAUUCAUUUGAUCAACGGACCAAGUUACCCUAGGGAUAACAGCGCAAUCCUAUUCAAGAGUCCAUAUCGACAAUUAGGGUUUACGACCUCGAUGUUGGAUCAGGACAUCCCAAUGGUGCAGCAGCUAUUAAUGGUUCGUUUGUUCAACGAUUAAAGUCCUACGUGAUCUG